GGGGAGUUCGGACAACCUAGAGGACUUUGACUACAUUAGCAUAGAAUACUAACCUAUUCAGAAAGUCAUCUCUAUUGUGUUUUGCACACGCGAUGUUUGUCAUCUAUCCGCUCCUUGGCAAGUGCCCUAAACAGAAGCAGGUUAGUAUUCGGCGCUAAUGUAGUCAAAGUCCUCAAAAGCACACCCCCACCCCCCACCCCAAAUUGUCCUAAAAUUUCCAAAACAUUUCACAUAGAUUUCAUAUUUUAAUAUUUUGCAUUUUUCCUGUAAUUUAAAUUUUCGGUGGUUUCUACUGCUACUGUUUCGUUUCGGCCUCUUCGUUUCGGUGGUUUCGUUUCGACGUUUCCCCUCUUAGUACAUGCCGAUAUAUGCAAGUCAGAUUAUAAUAGAUUAUAAUAUAAUAUGAUAUA